rnacentral:tRNA from 1 species
GCCUUCGUGGUGUAGUGGUCAGCACGCUCGACGCGUAACCGAGAGGUCCGUGGUUCGAUUCUCCGGCAAAGCCG